GUGGGGAAUAUUGGACAAUGGGGGGAACCCUGAUCCAGCCAUGCCGCGUGUGUGAAGAAGGCCUUUUGGUUGUAAAGCACUUUAAGCGAGGAGGAGGCUACCGAGAUUAAUACUCUUGGAUAGUGGACGUUACUCGCAGAAUAAGCACCGGCUAACUCUGUGCCAGCAGCCGCGGUAAUACAGAGGGUGCAAGCGUUAAUCGGAUUUACUGGGCGUAAAGCGCGCGUAGGUGGCCAAUUAAGUCAAAUGUGAAAUCCCCGAGCUUAACUUGGGAAGUGCAUUCGAUACUGGUUGGCUAGAGUAUGGGAGAGGAUGGUAGAAUUCCAGGUGUAGCGGUGAAAUGCGUAGAGAUCUGGAGGAAUACCGAUGGCGAAGGCAGCCAUCUGGCCUAAUACUGACACUGAGGUGCGAAAGCAUGGGGAGCAAACAGGAUUAGAUACCCGAGUAGUCC
rnacentral:rRNA from 1 species